UCCUACGGGGGGCAGCAGGCGCGAAAACUCUGCAAUAAGCGAAAGCUUGACAGGGCUAUUCUGAGUGAUUUCCGCUAAGGAAGUCUUUUGGCACCUCUAAAAAUGGUGCAGAAUAAGGGGUGGGCAAGCCUGGUGUCAGCCGCCGCGGUAAUCUACGGGAGGCAGCAGGCGCGAAACCUCUGCAAUAGGCGAAAGCUUGACAGGGUUACUCUGAGUGACUUUCGC
rnacentral:rRNA from 1 species